CAACUUCAAUGCCGUCUGACAUGUUGCUGGCUGGCUGAAUGGGAUGCUGCGGCUACUGUUGGUUCUUCGGUUCUGCUCGGCGUUGGUGCUGCGGCUGUUGCUGCAACUCUCGAGUGACAGUUCAGGGAAUUUUUUACCGGCUUGGGUGCUUGGUGCAAAUUUUGUGAACACAACACGCAAACGCUUAACGACAAGUGUCACGAUAAACAACAACAAAAUUAAUAAAAAAAAAA